rnacentral:lncRNA from 1 species
UGCUGGAGCUGAUGACAGAUUGGACUGGCCCUGUUAGCGCAAAUCCUUUCCCUUCUGAGAAGCUACUCGACAUUCCCUGAUCUUGUGGCCUGGCUUACCAUACCCAAAACAUAUAUCAUUUCCAGCUUUACACUCACCCUGGAGAAUUCUACCAUAUUUCUCAUAGAGCAGAUUAGUACAACCAUUGUUCACACUACCCUAGGGCUUAGAACCUGGCGCUAUAUCCCUA